rnacentral:tRNA from 1 species
CGCGGGGUAGAGCAGUCUGGUAGCUCGUUGGGCUCAUAACCCAAAGGACGGAGGUUCAAAUCCUUCCCCCGCUACCA